rnacentral:rRNA from 1 species
GACGAACGCUGGCGGCGUGCUUAACACAUGCAAGUCGAACGGUAAGGCCCCUUCGGGGGUACACGAGUGGCGAACGGGUGAGUAACACGUGAGCAACCUGCCCUUGACUUUGGGAUACCAGCUGGAAACAGCUGCUAAUACCGGAUAUGACCUCUUCUCUCAUGGGUUGAGGUGGAAAGCUCCGGCGGUCAGGGAUGGGCUCGCGGCCUAUCAGCUUGUUGGUGAGGUAAUGGCUCACCAAGGCUUCGACGGGUAGCCGGCCUGAGAGGGCGACCGGCCACACUGGGACUGAGAUACGGCCCAGACUCCUACGGGAGGCAGCAGUGGGGAAUAUUGCACAAUGGGCGCAAGCCUGAUGCAGCAACGCCGCGUGCGGGAUGACGGCCUUCGGGUGGUAAACCGCUUUCAGUAGGGACGAAGCUAACGUGACGGUACCUACAGAAGAAGGACCGGCUAACUACGUG